CUUCAAGACAAAAAUGCAGCAUAGGUCCAGGGAAACUAAAAUGAUGUGGUGAGAAACCUGCUGUGGAAAGCUACCACCCCAGAAUGAAAAGAGACGACACUCUUCAUAGAACUAAGGUGAUAGAACAGAACUGGGAAAGACCUCCAGCAGAGCCCGAGAGACAGCACUAAUGGCUUUAACAGCGAACCUAUUCUUGCUACUGAGCUUAAAAAAAAAAACAAAGUGAAUCUAUAAGGAGACAGAAGCUCUCUCCUUUUGAAAAGAAUAAAGUGAGUACCAGGAGAAGGAAGAACAUUCCAACAAGUUAUGCAACAAUGACACUAGGGUGACAGAAAGAAGACAAUUAAUAAAUCUACCAGUGAGCCAGGUGCAGUGGCCUAUCCCUGUAAUCCCAGUGACUAGGGGGGCUAAAGCAAGAGGAUUACAUGAGGCCAGGAGUUUGAGAUCAGCCUGGGCAACACAGCAAGACCCCAUCUCAAAAAAACAAAGCUGGGUGUGGUGACAUGCAUCUGUAGUCCCAGCUACUCAGGAGGCUAAAGUGAGGAUAGACAGCAUGAGCCCAGGAGUUCAAUGCUGCAGUGAUCUAUGAUCUGCACUGUGGCCUCAGUGACAGAGUGAGAUCCCAU
rnacentral:lncRNA from 10 species